GAUGAACGCUGGCGGCGUGCUUAACACAUGCAAGUCGAACGGAAAGGCUCCUGCUUGCCGGGGUACUCGAGUGGCGAACGGGUGAGUAACACGUGGGUGAUCUGCCCAGCACUUCGGGAUAAGCCUGGGAAACUGGGUCUCAUGCCGGAUAGGACGAUGGGUUGGAUGCCAUUGUGGAAAGUUUUUUCGGUGUGGGAUGAGCUCGCGGCCUAUCCGCUUGUUGGUGGAGUAAUGGCAUACCAAGGCGUCGACGGGUAGCCGGCCUGGGAGGGGGUACGGCCACAUGGGGACUGAGAGACGGACCAGACUCCUACGGGAGGCAGCAGGGGGGAAUAUUGCACAAUGGGGGCAAGCCUGAGGCAGCGACGCCGCGUGGGGGAUGACGGCCUUCGGGUUGUAAACUCCUUUCGCUAGGGACGAAGCGCAAGUGACGGUACCUGGAGAAGAAGCACCGGCUAACUACGUG
rnacentral:rRNA from 1 species